AACAAACAGAAACAUACAACACCAGUAUAACAAUAUCAGUAUCCUAAAUAUACUAAAGUAUACUAAAUAUACUGAUUGCUCCAAAAAAGCAAUAUACAUAUAAAUAUAAACUAGUACAAUUAAACAUAGAAUACACAACACGUGUUUAAACAAAUCAUUGUAAUUUAAUGUGCAUCCCAUGCAUCUGUAGUCUACCUUAAAUAUAACAAAUAGAAAAAAUAAGCCAUUUAAUAUUUUAAAUAUAACAAAAAAUGUAAGGCAGGAUUCGAAUCCUAAAAUUCCAAACACGUAAGCGGUCUUAUUCAAAAUAAACAAGUAGCUUCAUCCUUGAGUUUUAAAUGAAGUCUCGCGAGAGCGCGGUCGAGCAGAAUGCGGAAACUGGGUGCGAUUGUCUGGCUGCGAUAUUAAAAUUGAAACUGGAUGAUACAGUAUAGCGCUUUGUAACAUAUACACACACGACGAUAUUUUUCUUCCGUUGAAUUGAAUAGUAAGAGGUUUGCGUUAUUUGUUGGUUUUGUUGAGCCAUUUAGGCGGAUUAAAACAGCUGUUAUGGAUUUAUUUUGAAAUAAAAAAAUAUGUUGAUAGAGAUCAAUACGCGUUCACAAACUAUUGAGAGCCGAAGCGGUGGAGAAUGCGUUAUAUACGACCUACAUUGCGACGGACAGGCAACAAACUAAGGCCGUGAUCAUCGAGGCUCCAGCAGCAGUUGACAUGAGAUGAUUGGAGAGUGGACAUGGAGAAAUGAAGGCAUUCAUUAGUGUACUUGAAUGUCUCAGCUUGGUCUAUAACAAAGAAUAUGAAGACUUCACAAAUCAGCUUGUAAUUUCUUAAUAUAUAUAGGUCAUGUGAGGGAAAUAAUUCAUUGAGAAUGAUGUGUUUUGCAAAUGUUUACUCCUGUUAAAAAUUUAACCAAAAUUGCAUUGACCUUGACUGACAUUUUACACACAAAUGCUUUCAGUUCAAACAGAGAGAAAGUAACAGAUAUAUAAAAAACAGGUAUAUAAAAAUAUGUUAUUGAGGAAUUUCUCUCAAAUCUAGAACAGAAUAUUUGUAGAUCCAAACUAAAUGCUUAUGAAUUUUGUCUGUGUUAAUGUUAUUUGGGGCCAUGUAUAGAAAGUUUAUUUUGAGUUUACGUUUUUUCACUGAUGUAGUAGUGCUUUCUAUUGGUUUGUUUAAAGGAAAAUAAAAUUAAUAUUAUAAAUCCUA